UAGAACGACGAACAACGACUGUCGCACUUUUGUUUUAAAAGAUGGCUCGGCUAAACUUUCUUUCCCAGUACAAGUGGACACUAGAUGACUGCACUCGUCUUCUGCAGACAGAUUACGCUGGGCCUGCUGUGUUGGAAUCCACAUUAACCAGAUUACAGAUUAUUUCAGAAUUCUGAGAGCAGUGGACCACUACGACGUCGACAAAGGUGCAGAGCAAGGUGUCAAAUUACUUUUAAAGUAUCACUUCUGAAGAAUUCCAUUCAGAGGAUCACUUCACAUAUGGGACCGCCAGUCCAGGCUUCACCCGCCACUUUCUGCAUGGCUGCAGUCAUUCACAGGACCACCAGUCCAGGCUCCAGCCAGCGCUGGUAGCCAUAAUCCUGAGGAUAUGAGGGAAGACAUCUACAUGGACUCAGGUGCAACAGCCCCAAUGAUGUCAGAUGUUUGGCUGAGAUUUUUAAAUACUUUCAAAAUGACCAUCUAGACCUCAGUUGCAUUAUCAGUCAUUGCCAGGCGCAAAAACAUUCUUCAGAGUGCAUGUGUUGCUCUAAGCAGGAGCUAUUUUGCCUUGCAUAAACUGCCACAUAUCGAGUUCGUUGGGGAGAUGGCAGAAGAUUACGGAGGUUCAAGGAGAGAGUAUUUCAGACUCGUCAUGAUUGAACUACAGGAAAAGAUGGGCAUCUUCCAAGGAAGACCGGGGUGGCUGCUUUUCAGCUAUGACCAACGGGCGCUGGCACAAAACAAGUUUUACACUGCGGGAAAGCUGGUGGCCUGGUCCAUUAUCCACAAUGGACCAGGAAUCCGAUGCCUGAACAAAGACCUAUUUCUGCUCAUGUGUGGCCAGAUAGUCUUGUUUUAUGGAUUUUUUUGGAUUUAGGCCAGUAUGGUCCAACAGUUCAUUGCUGGGAUGAAUUCAUGUGGCCAGAUGUGGGAGAUGGUGGUUGUGAUGAACUGCAGAGAGUUCCUCCCACUGUUCACAAACGCAACACAGAUAGAAUGACAUCAGGAACUUCUUCACAAUAUCCUGGAGUCCACGGGGCAGCAACCACAGAGAACAGGAGGAGGAGACUGUCUUCCAGUGGGAGUGCUGGCUGAUGUCCAUUCAAGUAUGUGUCUCAGCAGAAGAGGACAUGGAUAUUUCCUUUGAGGAGUUGCUGGUUUGUGACAGGGGCCGAUUCUGUCCCUCCUCUUGGGUUCCCGCAGAAAUGCCAGCUUGACUUCUAUAAUCAGGAAGAUGGGAGCUGCCGCAUUCCUUAUUCAUAGCCUUUGCCUCUUCCUCCCGAGAGGGGUUACAGAAGAAGAGGAGUUCAGAAGACUUAUGUUCCUUACACUGAAAGGGUCUUUUGGUUUUGGGAAGGUGUGAGGGAGAACAAAAAUGCAUUCAUAUCAUGGGAUGUAGGCUUGGAUUUUUCACCAUCAAUCAGAUGUUGCGGCUGUAUGCAUUGGAAAUCAGUUAGUUUAUGUUUGUUUAUGUUGGAGCGUUUACAAAGGAGACUGUUGAUGGAACUAGAUACAUAAUGUUAUUAAUUAUAACCUUACCACCCUUGCCCUUCAUACAUGAAGGACAAGUUCCUUGCCCUUAAAGGGUCUCUUGGUUUUGGGAAGGUGUGAUGGAAAACAAAGUGUUCAUAUUAUGGUAAG